AGCCCAGAGCCUGAAUCAGUGUGUGUGUUAGUGGAAGCGUCUGGAAAGGCGCGCGAUACAGGGUGACAGCCCCGUACACAAAAAUGCACAUGCUGUGAGCUCGAUGAGUAGGGCGGGACACGUGGUAUCCUGUCUGAAUAUGGGGGGACCAUCCUCCAAGGCUAAAUACUCCUGACUGACCGAUAGUGAACCAGUACCGUGAGGGAAAGGCGAAAAGAACCCCGGCGAGGGGAGUGAAAAAGAACCUGAAACCGUGUACGUACAAGCAGUGGGAGCCUCUUUAUGGGGUGACUGCGUACCUUUUGUAUAAUGGGUCAGCGACUUAUAUUCUGUAGCAAGGUUAACCGAAUAGGGGAGCCGAAGGGAAACCGAGUCUUAACUGGGCGUUAAGUUGCAGGGUAUAGACCCGAAACCCGGUGAUCUAGCCAUGGGCAGGUUGAAGGUUGGGUAACACUAACUGGAGGACCGAACCGACUAAUGUUGAAAAAUUAGCGGAUGACUUGUGGCUGGGGGUGAAAGGCCAAUCAAACCGGGAGAUAGCUGGUUCUCCCCGAAAGCUAUUUAGGUAGCGCCUCGUGAAUUCAUCUCCGGGGGUAGAGCACUGUUUCGGCAAGGGGGUCAUCCCGACUUACCAACCCGAUGCAAACUGCGAAUACCGGAGAAUGUUAUCACGGGAGACACACGGCGGGUGCUAACGUCCGUCGUGAAGAGGGAAACAACCCAGACCGCCAGCUAAGGUCCCAAAGUCAUGGUUAAGUGGGAAACGAUGUGGGAAGGCCCAGACAGCCAGGAUGUUGGCUUAGAAGCAGCCAUCAUUUAAAGAAAGCGUAAUAGCUCACUGGUCGAGUCGGCCUGCGCGGAAGAUGUAACGGGGCUAAACCAUGCACCGAAGCUGCGGCAGCGACGCUUAUGCGUUGUUGGGUAGGGGAGCGUUCUGUAAGCCUGCGAAGGUGUGCUGUGAGGCAUGCUGGAGGUAUCAGAAGUGCGAAUGCUGACAUAAGUAACGAUAAAGCGGGUGAAAAGCCCGCUCGCCGGAAGACCAAGGGUUCCUGUCCAACGUUAAUCGGGGCAGGGUGAGUCGACCCCUAAGGCGAGGCCGAAAGGCGUAGUCGAUGGGAAACAGGUUAAUAUUCCUGUACUUGGUGUUACUGCGAAGGGGGGACGGAGAAGGCUAUGUUGGCCGGGCGACGGUUGUCCCGGUUUAAGCGUGUAGGCUGGUUUUCCAGGCAAAUCCGGAAAAUCAAGGCUGAGGCGUGAUGACGAGGCACUACGGUGCUGAAGCAACAAAUGCCCUGCUUCCAGGAAAAGCCUCUAAGCAUCAGGUAACAUCAAAUCGUACCCCAAACCGACACAGGUGGUCAGGUAGAGAAUACCAAGGCGCUUGAGAGAACUCGGGUGAAGGAACUAGGCAAAAUGGUGCCGUAACUUCGGGAGAAGGCACGCUGAUAUGUAGGUGAAGCGACUUGCUCGUGGAGCUGAAAUCAGUCGAAGAUACCAGCUGGCUGCAACUGUUUAUUAAAAACACAGCACUGUGCAAACACGAAAGUGGACGUAUACGGUGUGACGCCUGCCCGGUGCCGGAAGGUUAAUUGAUGGG
rnacentral:rRNA from 1 species